GAUCAAAGUGGACGGGCUCCCCGUCUCCCGGUGCGACUGUCGACUGGGGCGGACUGUACACAGUGCGCUCCGACCGCGUCUCGCCGCCGAGUCGGUGCGAGUCACGUUCCCAAAAAGAGUGGGCGCCAGGGGUCCGCGGCGAUGUCGGUAACCUACCC
rnacentral:rRNA from 1 species